AUCACUUCUCAGCCUUUUGGCUAAGAUCAAGUGUGAAGAUACCAACUUUUAGUAUGGCUCCUAAAACAGCUCAGUUUAAUCUUUGCCUUCUUAAGAAGAGAAUUCUCUUCAAGAACAUUGAACCCGUAUCUUCUUAGUUUGAAUGACAGGUUAUUAAAUUCAUGGCUUCAUGAUUCACCCCUGA
rfam:Otolemur garnettii contig112952, whole genome shotgun sequence.